UGCCAGCAGCCGCGGUAAUACGAAGGGAGCUAGCGUUAUUCGGAAUUACUGGGCGUAAAGCGCGCGUAGGCGGUCUAUUAAGUUAGAUGUGAAAGCCCGAGGCUCAACCUCGGAACUGCAUUUAAAACUGCUAGACUAGAAUUGAUUAGAGGUCAGUGGAAUUCCUUGUGUAGAGGUGAAAUUCGUAGAUACAAGGAGGAACACCAGAGGCGAAGGCGACUGACUGGGAUCAUAUUGACGCUGAGGUGCGAAAGCGUGGGGAGCGAAGAGGAUUAGAUA
rnacentral:rRNA from 1 species